rnacentral:lncRNA from 1 species
CCCCGCCCCCUCCGGAGCCGAAGCGGACAGAAGCAGGCUGGACGCCCAGAGGCGGCGGCCACAUCCACCCGUGUCUGAGCGGCUCCUGCGAUCUGACUGCUGGCCCGCCCUCGACCCAUCAGUCACUCGCUCCAUCCUGGCCUGUGAGGUUAGCCUGAUGCUAAAUCCGUGCAGGAGGAGCCUGCCGCUUGCUUUUCUUGUUUCCACUCGGUUCCAUGCGGCUUUCAGCAAGACUGCCUAAAUGCGAGAUUGAAUUUACUGCCUCGGCAGCCCCUGUAGCCAAGUGCACACGGACGCAUUGAGAUCUGGACUGUCCGGUGUGGUCCAGCCAUUAAUAGUUGUUUCAAACAAGGGCCGGCGCGAUGGCUACGUGGGUGACAACUGGGUUUGAUCCCCAGAACCCGUGUAAAAGUGGAAAAAGAAAACUGACUCUUUAAA